CAAACGGCCCUCUUUAGGGCCACCAAAAAUCAUAAACCAAAACUCGU
rfam:Anisakis simplex genome assembly, scaffold: ASIM_scaffold0000038